rnacentral:rRNA from 1 species
GUCUAUGACCACACCACUCUGAACUAACACAAUCUCAUCUGAUCUUGGAGGCUAAGCAGGGCCAGGCCUACUUAGUACUUAGAUGGGGGAAUCAUAGCAGAUAAGUCAUAAAGC